rnacentral:lncRNA from 1 species
CCAAGACACUUUUCGAUGGUGCUUUCCUCCAUGUGUUCAAAUCUUUUUUCUUCUCUACAUUGUAUACUUUAUAGACAAUAGUCUUUUCUUUAAUUUAAUUUUUUAUUUCGUUUGGUGGUGUUAUCCUCCUUGUCGGUGAUCAAUCCGAAAUAGGUUUGUAUUUCUUCCAUUUUAAUUUUAAUGAGUUCGCACCCGCCGAUGGCUGCAGAGAAAUUCAUUUUUGGACUUUCUUCUAUCGAAGGUAUUCUAACAAAAAUGCUUCCGUAUAAACGGUGAAAAUAUUGUCAAUUUCCUCAAACAGGGACACAAUUCAAUGUUUAAACAAUAACCAAAGCUCCUUCUCCCAAAGGGGGAUUACAGUUUACAAUUAUUUAACAAAUGCAACACAACAACGUUUCCUUUACGAGGAACCAACAAACAUGAUAACAAUAGUUAAACAGUAAUACGGUGGAUCAAAAAGCAGUACGCAGUUGAAGCUAUAGUCCUUUAUGUAUAAGUACUCAGUAGAAGCGGCUGUUCGAGAAAACAGACAUUACAUACAGCCAAACUUCAUAUAGAUACUUAAUGUUAGCUAAUUAGCAGAUAAUCUAAUGUAAAAGCCGUGGUAAACGGUAUGUGCACAGCUCCAUCUGGACUAUUCCAUUUCUGCACACUAAUUUUAUUUUUAAUUUAUUCCCAUUCAUGUGAAACCACUUAUUCAAGUUCAAGUCAUUGAUGCAAUUUUAUACCAAUUGCUAUUUUUACUUUUGUCAUGUUACGAUUAUAUUAUACUUUAGUUUGAUUUUAAUUAUUACUUACUACAUAUAAUUCAAUUGUUAUUAUUAUCUCUAAUUUUUAUUGUCAAAGUUUAAGUAUCUGACAAAAAAUAGAGAAAUGUUUUUGUUUCACUUUUAACACGUAAUACUGAAAUAGAGGAGAAGAUAUGCUAUUGCUAUGGGCUCGCCCUGGGCAAGAAGUUGAACAUUUUUUUCCCAUAAAACUACAUGGACCCUAAGUAAGGCGUGUGUAAAAUUUGAAUGAAAUUGGUUGUGUAGUUCUCAAGUUUUAGGGAAUCGUCGUGGAGAAGAUAUGAUAUUGCUGUGGGCUCGCCCUAGGGAAAAAGUAAGGCAUGUAUAAAAUUUGAAUGAAAUUGGUUGUGUAGUUCUCAAGUUUUAGGGAAGCACACAGACAGACAGACUCACAUUCUCAGUUUUAUAUAUAUAGAUAUGUAUAUGUAUAUGUAUAUCUGCAUGUUUGUAUAUAUAUAUAUAUAUAUAUAUAUAUAUAUAUAUAUAUAUAUAUAUAUAUAUAUAUAUAUAUAUAUAUAUAUAUAUAUAUAUAUAUGUGUGUGUGUGUGUGUGUGUGUGUGUAUAUAUAUACGUAUAUAUAUAUAUGUAUGUAUAUAUACGUAUAUAUAUGAGUUCAUUAUAUCAUUAUAUAGAAACUGUUUUCUCAGAUGAAUACUUGAACCAUGCAAUUAAGGACAUUCCAAAUUAUUUUACAUAUUUCAAAAUCCACGGAGCAAAACAUUUCCAAUCAUUCUGCUAUUAUUUCAGCUGCCGGUGGUAGCUUGGUUUCCACUAAAGCCGCCCAAGGUAGAUAGGUCAAAAGGUUGAGGUCUGAUAAGCAACUAUCUAUUGGCUCUUCAGGCUGAGGAUUGAGUACAGGGCUAACAACCUAGGCUUGCAAAAAUCUGAUUUGUUGCGGUAACAGCAGCGAAGAUAAUGGGAACCACCGCCUUGAAAGAUACUCUUAUGAAUCUGAAAUGAAGUCAUUGACAGGAAAAUUUAAGUACGCUUUGAACCAUAUAGAACUGGUCCAGAACGUACAUACAUACAUACAGACUGACAGGCAUUCAUUCACGCUCACGCCACACACAUGUAUGUAUAUAUAUAUAUUUAUUUAUAUACAUACAUAUAUAUACAUAUAUAUAUAUAUAUAUAUAUAUAUAUAUAUAUAUAUAUAUAUAUAUAUAUAUAUAUAUAUAUAUAUAUAUAUUUAUGCUGUGUUUUUUCUACAUGUCUUGAGUUCGUUGCACUGAAGAGCAUCGAAUGCAUAUUCUGCAUUGAUUGCGAAAUCACAGGUGAUAUGUAACUAAAUUCUGUUUUUAAAUGACUCGCUUUAAAGUUUUGCAUUCGGUAUAAUUUGUUUAUUUUAGUAGUUUUGACUGUAAAAGUCCCUCCUGGCGUGCGGUACCUCCUAGCGUGCGGUAUAUAUACUCUUUUACUCUUUUACUCUUAUACUUGUUUCAGCCAUCCGGCUGAGGCCAUGCUGGGGCACCGCCCUUGUUGCUAUCCUCUCUAAGUCCAGUUUGCCGUGGCUGGCCACUGAUCUAAGAGAGAGUUUUUAGCUGCUGCCCUUAGGUUACCUUCGUACCUUGCAGUGGGUUCAUCUGGGAUCCCGGAAAGCAGCUUGUCUAGAUGUUUUUUGAAAAUGUCCACAUCCGCAUCAUGUAGAUCUCUUAGUUUUCUUGGCAGUUUGUUGAAAAGCUGAGGGCCCCUGAACCCCAGGCUAUUACAGUAUCUGCUCCUUACCCUGGAUGUGGAAGACGGGACCUUUGGCACCACACAGUGACGUCCUGUACGGGGAUUGGAACAGCUCUCAAUUCCAAAAUUUGGUGCUAGUCCCUCCAGGAUUUUCCAUAUGUAUAUCACUGCAUAUCUCUCUCGUCUUCGUUCCAAGGAGUACAAAUUGAGUUCCCUAAGCCUCUCCCAAUAGUUCUUUUCUUUCAUGGUGGAAAUCCUCUUGGUGAAAUGUCUUUGGAUUGUCUCAAGCUCUGUGGUUAGUUUGACACUAUGCGGUGACCACAGUUGGGAGCAGUAGUCCAGGCGGCUUAGGACAAAUGUCCUCCAUAGUGUCAACAUGGUCUCGCAGUCUCUUGUCCGGAAUGUCCUCAGGAUCCAGCCAGUGAGUCGUCUGCACAUUGUCGCCACCUUCGCGAUGUGUGAAGAAAAAGAUGCAUCGUCACUCAUGUCUAUCCCCAGGUCCCGUAUUGAUUUCGAUACUGGGAUUUCGAUCCCUCCUGGACCAGUAUAGUUGUGUUGUAAUGUAUAUGUGUUUACAGCUUGAUAUUGUAAGGCUUGAAAUUUACCAGCAUUAAAUUGCAUGUUGUUGUCUUCAGCCCAUUUGUAUAUGGCAUCCAGAUCUUGUUGUAAAAGGUCAGCAUCAGCUGGGUUUUUGAUUGCCUGUGCUACCUUUGUGUCAUCAGCAUAGCUAGUGAGGGAUGUUGUUUGUGCUACCAAGGGCAUGUCAGAGAGCGCCACCAAAAACAGCAAGGGUCCCAAGACUGUGCCCUGUGGCACCCCGCUUGCUAUUGGUGUCUUUCCCGAGAGGGCUCCAUUGGCUGCAACCAUCUCGCUUCUGUCCUUCAGGAAGUCAUGUAUCCACUCACCUACUUUUCCUGUUAUGCCGAGUCUGAGUAAUUUGUGACAUAUCACUCCGUGGUCGACUUUGUCAAAGGCCUUCGCAAAGUCGAGAUAUACCACAUCCACCUGUGAGCGAUCCAGUAGUUGUUUCAGUACCCAGUCGUAGUGUUGUAACAGCUGCGUAAGGCAGCUUCUUCCUGGGCGAAAGCCAUGCUGUGUGUCAGUGAGACGGUUAGUUUCUUCGAGGAACGUGAUCAGUUUUUUUCUGAUGAUUCGUUCCAUGACCUUACUUAUGUGUGACGUCAGGGAGACUGGCCUGUAGUUUUUGGCCUCUGCUCUACUCCCUCCUUUGUGGAUAGGGCAUAUGGUGCCUUCUUUUAGCGCCCUGGGCAGUUUACCGUUAGCCAAGGAACCACUGAAGAGCUUCUUCAGUGGUCCCGCUAGGGCAUGCCUGCAUGUUUUUAGGAGGACUGCUGGGAAUCCAUCUGGUCCAGCAGCUGAGUUUAUUCUCAUUUCUUCUAUGGCAGAUAUUACAUCCCUCUCUGUUAUGUCUAUGUGGUCGAUGGUUGUUGUUUGGUUUUGGAGUGUUGUGGCAUCAAAGAAAACUUCUGGGUUUGUGAUUUGCAUGUGCCCCAGAGGGGAUGUGAACACACUUUUAUACUGUUCCUUUAGUAUUUCACUUAUCCCUUGGGGGUCCUCAGUUAGAGAGCCCUUUUUAUCAAAGAGUGGGCCAAUCUUGCAGUGUACCGAGGUGGUUUCUUUCGCAAAUUUAAAGAAGGCUUUAGGGUUUGUUUUAAUAUUCUCUAUGGCCCUGGCUUCUCUCUCUGCCCUCUCCUUCUCAUAGGAAAGUUUGAGUGCAGUUUCCGUUUCAAAAAGUUUCAGGUGGAGUCCCUCAUUGUUUCUCUGCCGUGCAUUCAGUUGCUUCGAGAGCUUAGCUCUUCGCCUCAUAAGUAUUUUCCUGUCUCUGGGAAUAACGUUCCUAUGCCCGCUGGCUUUUUUCUCCGGGACAAACUUAUGGCAUAUGUUCUGUAUUGUUGUCAUGAAAUGUUGGAAAUGUGUGUUGGUGUCUUGUGUGGUGAUGAAGUCACUCCAGUCAUGUUUUCGGAUCUCUUCGUUGAUCUUCUUCCAGUUUGCCUUAUGGAAGUUUAGACUGGAUAGGCCUGUGGUAUUUUCUAAUGGCUAAUAAUAUUUCCAUAUGAUCCUUUUAUUUUAUUCUUUUUAGGUCUCUUAGUAGUUGUAGAUGGCGCCAUUUCGCCCUUCUUAUGGGAUCCUCAGUACAACAUAACUUGAGAUCAUGAAAUUAAUUCGUCUAUAUUCGUUUAAAACCUUUAGGAAUUAUAUUCGAUCGAUUUUCUUAUACUUCCUUUUCCCUUACAGAGGCAGGGAAAUGAAAACCUCAGAGUAUAUAUAUAUAUAUAUACUUUAUUUAAAGCAACAGAAAAUUCAACAAAACCUGUUACUCUGAGUUUCCCGUUGCCGGGAAACUCAGAGUAUAUAUAUAAGGCACAUCAGUAAUUGCUUAGGGUAAGCAGUUUGUGACGUUUAUGUAAUAAAACGCAAAAAAAUAAGCGAAACACAGGCGCAUGACUGAGUUGGAGACAGAAUUACUUCUGCCUUUAUGGCGCAUAUGUUGUUGUAAGAAUGUACGCAGCACGUGUACUACAGUCGUACUAUACGUAAUUUUAAUACUGAAACUGAAAGGCAGGGACAAAUUAUGGCUACCUAAUCUACAAAAAUUAGGAUAUUUUGCAUUUUAUGCUUAGUUAUCAAAGGUUACUCUGAUAACUAUGCAUAAAAUGCAAAAUAUCCUAAUUUUUGUAGAUUAGGUAGCCAUAAUUUGUCCCUGCCUUUCAGUUUCAGUAUUAAAAUUACGUAUAGUACGACUGUAGUACACGUGCUGCGUACAUUCUUACAACAACAUAUGCGCCAUAAAGGCAGAAGUAAUUCUGUCUCCAACUCAGUCAUGCGCCUGUGUUUCGCUUAUUUUUUUGCGUUUUAUUACAUAAACGUCACAAACUGCUUACCCUAAGCAAUUACUGAUGUGUCUAAUGCUGGUUUUAAUUUAAAAUGACUCUGAGGUUUUCAUUUCCCUGCCUCUGUAAGGGAAAAAGAAGUAUAAGAAAAUCGAUCGAAUAUAAUUCCUAAAGGUUUUAAACGAAUAUAGACGAAUUAAUUUCAUGAUCUCAAGUUAUGUUGUACUGAGGAUCCCAUAAGAAGGGCGAAAUGGCGCCAUCUACAACUACUAAGAGACCUAAAAAGAAUAAAAUAAAAGGAUCAUAUGGAAAUAUUAUUUCUUAUGCUCUCUCACCCAAGAAAACAACCUCUCAUAAUAAUUAUAAUAAAGAAUCAUAAACCCUCUUCUCUUCAAUGAAAUCUUCACCUUCUCUACUAUCUUUCAGUAAACUGUCUCUCCUUUCUUGCUCCGGAAGCAAUUGUAGGUGGCAAAUAUGCACCUAAUUCAAUAAAAUUAUGAAGGUUACUCCAUAAUUUUAUUGAAUUAGGUGCAUAUUUUGCCAUAAAAGGAAAAUAUUACUAUCGAUCUAUUUUAUUCAGGGUAGGCACUGACUACCUUGCCUACCCAGGUGGUACGUUCCUGAUACAUAUAUAUAUGCGUCGGAAAUUUGACUGAGAACUGUUGCUGUUGCCACCUACAAUUGCUUCCGGAGCAAGAAAGGAGAGACAGUUUACUGAAAGAUAGUAGAGAAGGUGAAGAUUUCAUUGAAGAGAAGAGAACCGCUUGAAGGUUUAUGAUUUUUUAUUAUAAUUAUUAUGAGAGGUUGUUUUCUUGGGUGAGAGAGCAUAAGAAAUAAUAUUUCCAUAUGAUCCUUUUAUUUUAUUCUUUUUAGGUCUCCUAGUAGUUGUAGAUGGCACCAUUUCGCCCUUCUUAUGGGCUCCUCAGUACAACAUAACUUGAGAUCAUGAAAUUAAUUCGUCUAUAUUCAUUUAAAACCUUUAGGAAUUAUAUUCGAUCGAUUUUCUUAUACUUCUUUUUCCCUUAGAGGCAGGGAAAUGAAAACCUCAGAGUCAUUUUAAAUUAAAACCAGCAUUAGACAAAAGCUUACUUAUUAAAUAAGAAGAAUGAAACAUUGGACAAUUGCAGCCCAAAAAUAUUAAGAACAUUUCAAAAUUAUAACGAGAAAUCAUAAUGAUUUAAAGAUUUUUAAAUAUAUAUGUAUGCGUGAGUGUGUAUGUGUAUGAGUGUUUGUGUGCGUGUGUGAGUGUGUAAUAGUAUCAAUAUUAUUAGCGGACUGUGUUGCUAAAGAGAACUGGUUGCUAUUUCUAGCAAGUCGACUUGUUCUGGAUCACUGCACUCACUUAGUUCAAGUCCCGUCGAGGGUCGAUAAAAGAAAUUAUCAAUCCAGCGGCUGGAUGGGCGGAACUCUUAGAACAUCGGACGAAAUAUCUUGUUGUACUUGUCUCGACCUCUUCGCAUCCUGACAGCCACACCUAUCAUGACAACGACGUCAAACUGUAUCGGCAUUAAGACAGUUUUGCCCUUGAACAAAGUCAGUGGUGGAGAGAGAAAAAAUUCGCAUUCUAGUCUUCCACAUAAAAGGGCCUGGACAGGUCUGCGCAUAGAGGUACAGAUGACUGACAGAUAUCAUAAAAGUCUUUAUUCUCAUUAUAUUUUCUCAAAUUCUGCUACGGUCUGUAAUCCUAUCACGUAUUAAAUCGACUCUUCCUCACUAUACCUAUCAAAACAAGGGUACUUUGACAGAAUCAGUAGGGCAUCAGAGAAAACAGCUUAAAGUAUUUUGUCGCAUCAUUCUACGCCCAAAUCGCCAUAACCUUUUGUGCCGCAGUCGAUCAAAUGAGGAGUUCGAAUGUGUAUUUAAAAGCUCUCUCGUUGGGUCAUAAAUAUUCGGAACUACUACGGCUGUAGCUAUAUUCACAAUAAAAUUACGAGAUAUACUUAUAUAUUUUAUUGUUCAAAGCCGGUUUUUUGGCUUUGUUUCGUUUUUGUUUUUUGUUUUGUCUUUUUUUUUUUUUGCUAUGUUUAUUUUCAGUGAUGUUUCAUAGCUUGUUUGUUCUCAAUUUCCAGUUGAUACAUUAUAAUUAUUUGGUGCAUUAUUCCUGAUCAAAUUCCAUUCAAAUUAAUCCAGCUCAAAUUCUAUUCAAAUUAGUCCGGGCCCAAUGCUAUCAGAUGUCACAUGAAUAUAAUAUUUAUGUGUGAAGUUGUUUAUUAUUGAGUCCAAUGGUGUUAGUAUGAGAUGUUUUUAGUCAUCAAACAAAGAAGGAAUAGUAUUCAUAUAUUUGAGUUUAUUUUUAUUUACAAAUUUGCUUUUUGUUGGUGAACACUCGAGAAUAUAACCAAUCCUCCCCAACUCUCUUUUUUUUGUUUUGUUAUAACAAGCAGCUGCAAAGGGAGAAAAUCUCCAUAGAGGCAACUGUAUCAAGAUGGAAAUAGUUAUUGGACGUCUUUAAUUUGAUAAGAUGACUUGCAACGAAAUUCCUGAUUCUUCAACGUGUGUUUCUGCUACCCUUACACGUAUAGAGAUUGCUCGUAUAUAUAGCAAGCCUGCAUGAUAUUUGUGUGUAUGUAUGCAUGCAUGCAUGUAUGUAUGUAUGUAUGUAUAUGUCUGUAUGUAUGUACGUACAUACAUACAUUUAUAUAUAUGUGCGUAUGUCUUACUUUUUCUAGUUAUUUGAAUUCUCUCCACAAAGGAGCUGGUUUCUAACAGAGAAACAACGCUCCAUCUUUGAUAUUUAAAUAACAACACUAAUACAUGUUACAUGUUGAACUUCAGUAAAGUCUUGUGUAUUUUACUGUUCCGCUUACAAAUUGUAUAUAUAAAGUGCGUGUUUGCUUAUAUCUUUCUUUGCCUGAAUAUUUUAAUUUUUCCAGAUUAAACAUUUACUAUCAUAGCUAAGUGCACCAAUAAUUAUUGAUAUAGACGUGAAAUUUGCACUUUGUAGAAAUUUUGAUGAGAAUGUUUUUGAUAGGAAUGUUUUAGCAAUACUCCUUGUAUUGGUACAUAUCUAUAUACUCAAUAACAGAAAUAUUGUCUAUAUCUAUCUUAAGGCUGUCUUUCCUAUUAAUAACAUUGUCUAAUGUUUUAGCAACAUCAUGUUGCAAUGGGAGGUAGUCACUUGAUGACAUUUUGGUGCAAUGGGUAAUGUCUCCACAUAAGACUUCCUUGUUAAUAUUUUCGGGUUUCAAAGCUUCGGUGUCUGUUUAGUUCAUUAGAUAUUUUCUAACCAUCUCCUGCACUUGGAUUACAAAAGUAUAGCCUUCGUUAAAUCCAAUCUAGUUACUACCAUGAAACUCUGGAAAAUGAUCAAUUUAUUUUUAAAUAAUAAGUUUACUAUAAGAAUUAAUAAGUAUUUUUGAAAAAAAGAUAACAGUUAUUAUCUUAUUUUCAUUUAUUUUAUUUAUUUUCAUCUGCUAUUUAUUUAUCGGAGUACCGAAUUAAUUUCCGGCUAAGAAUAAAUUUUGAGAACUUUUUUUAAGUGUAACAAAUUCAUUUAUUAUUAUUAUUAUUAUUAUUAUUAUUAUUAUUAUUAUUAUUAUUAUUAUUAUUAUUAUUAUUAUUAUUACCAUCAUUCGGUGAAUUAUUUAAAUAUUGUGAUUUUGCUUUAAAAUUUUUCUUAAAUCCUUAAAAAUGUUUUAGCCCGAAGGCCGCGGCCAUGCUGGGGCACCACCGCUGAUUAUUUAUUUUCCAUUAUUUUUUCAUACUUCAGUUAUAAUCAUGAAACUUAAUAGGAGAAAUCUGAUAGAGAAAUGGUUAUUUAGCACCUUGCUUAUUGUGACCCUGCCGUGCGUUAAGUCCGUGGGUCUCUAUCAUAUACUUUCAUUUGUGUCUCAAAUAUUUAUUGCCACUCAACUAAUUUCUUUUAAAUAGAUUAAUGUGCUUCCACCGCUAACCAUACUUAUCGAGAUGCUACUUAGACUACAUAGGUGCACACUUACAAUGGUGAAACAGCUGAUUUAGUAGUAAAAAUUAUGGUAAAGGUUUCAAUUAACAACUGGUCUUUCAGUCAUAAAAAGUUUAUUGUUUCAAAAAAGUACUAUUAUUUCAUGAAAAAAAACAAAAGCACCCCUGUACCUCAAUACUUCUUGAAGAGUUAAUAGUGGUUGUUGGCAUUAUUGGUAUUUUUUUUUCUUUUUACUCUACUUUAUUUUCAGUGCGUGAGUUCACCUAUAAUCAUGUCAGGAAAUUCAUUAAAGCGAAAAUGUAGACAGUAUGGUGUUGCAUAUUUGAAGUUUGGAUUUAUUAUUGCUCCAAAUAACGAACAACAGCCAAUGCGUCUUUUUUGCGAGAAAGCUUUUUCGAAUGAAGCCAUCCAUGAAGCCAUCCAUGCUUUCCGAUCAUUUAAAUAAAAUACUCCCUGAUAAAGCAAACAAAGAUUUGUCAUACUUUAAAAUUCAACGAGAUAAAUUUCGCAACAGAAAAUCCUAUUCACUACCUUACGACAAACCAAUCACAGAAAUGCGACGAUAGAUUUGUUUGUGCAUACAAUAUCUCCAGGAUGAUUGCCAGAUCAGGGAAACCUCAUACAAUCGGAGAACAACUCAUUUUGCCAGCUAUAGGGGAAGCUCUUCGUACAGUAGUACAUUAUCCUUCCCCAAGUGGAAUUAUCAGAACGAUUCCACUUAAUAAUAAUUCUUUGGAAAGAAGAAUUGAUGAGAUGGUUAAG